rnacentral:rRNA from 1 species
UACAUGGGGUGCAAACGUUGCUCGGAAUUAUUGGGCGUAAAGCGCACGUAGGUGGUCUAUUAAGUCGGAUGUGAAAGCCCUUGGCUCAACUGAGGAAGUGCAUCCGAAACUGAUAGGCUUGAGUACGGCAGAGGGUCGCGGAAUUCUCGGUGUAGAGGUGAAAUUCGUAGAUAUCGGGAGGAACACCGGUGGCGAAGGCGGCGACCUGGGCCGAUACUGACACUGAGGUUGCGAAAGCGUGGGGA